rnacentral:rRNA from 1 species
AGCGAACGCUGGCGGCAGGCCUAACACAUGCAAGUCGAACGAAGUCUUCGGACUUAGUGGCGGACGGGUGAGUAACACGUGGGAACGUGCCUUUAGGUUCGGAAUAACUCAGGGAAACUUGUGCUAAUACCGAAUGUGCCCUUCGGGGGAAAGAUUUAUCGCCUUUAGAGCGGCCCGCGUCUGAUUAGCUAGUUGGUGAGGUAAAGGCUCACCAAGGCGACGAUCAGUAGCUGGUCUGAGAGGAUGAUCAGCCACAUUGGGACUGAGACACGGCCCAAACUCCGACGGGAGGCAGCAGUGGGGAAUCUUGCGCAAUGGGCGAAAGCCUGACGCCGCCACGCCGCGUGAAUGACGAAGGUCUUAGGAUUGUAAAAUUCUUUCACCGGGGACGAUAAUGACGUUACCCGGAGAAGAAGCCCCGGCUAACUUCGUGCCAGCAGCCGCCGUAAAAC